rnacentral:rRNA from 1 species
GACGAACGCUGGCGGCGUGCUUAACACAUGCAAGUCGAACGGAAAGGCCCUUCGGGGUACUCGAGUGGCGAACGGGUGAGUAACACGUGGGCGUUCUGCCCUGCACUUUGGGAUAAGCCUGGGUAACUGGGUCUAAUACCGAAUAGGACCACGCGCUCCAUGGUGUGUGGUGGAAAGCUAUUGCGGUGUGGGAUGGGCCUGCGGCCUAUCAGCUUGUUGGUGGGGUAGUGGCCUACCAAGGCGACGACGGGUAGCCGGCCUGAGAGGGUGACCGGCCACACUGGGACUGAGAUACGGCCCAGACUCCUACGGGAGGCAGCAGUGGGGAAUAUUGCACAAUGGGCGCAAGCCUGAUGCAGCGACGCCGCGUGAGGGAUGACGGCCUUCGGGUUGUAAACCUCUUUCAAUAGGGACGAAGCGACAGUGACGGUACCUAGAGAAGAAGCACCGGCCAACUACGUG